GCAGAUUACACUCAGGCCCGGGAGGAGUAUA
rnacentral:sRNA from 1 species